ensembl:lncRNA
GGCAGCUCUCUAUGGGGCGCUGUGGGGCGCUGUGGGGUGACUGUGUGCCCCAUAGGGAAUGCGGCGCUUUGAGGCCCUAUGGGGCAGGUGUCUAUGGGGCGCUAUGUGGCACUAUGGGGCAGGUCCCUAUGGGGCGCUGUGGGGCGCUGUGGGGUGACUGUGUGCCCCAUAGGGAAUGCGGCGCUUUGAGGCCCUAUGGGGCAGGUCUCUAUGGGGCGCUGUGGGGUGACUGUGUGCCCCAUAGGGAAUGCGGCGCUUUGAGGCCCUAUGGGGCGCUGUGGGGCAGGUCCCUAUGGGGCGCUGUGGGGCGCUAUGGGGUGCUGUGGGGUGACUGUGUGCCCCAUAGGGAAUGCGGCGCUUUGAGGCCCUAUGGGGCGCUAUGGGGCACUAAGAGGCAGGUCUCUAUGGGGCGCUAUGGGGC